GCAUGGGUUUGGAUUUCUGUCAGGCCUGUCCCCUGGAUCUCUCACAUUCCCCCAUGGCAAAGGAAACUAUGGCCUUGAACCAUUGCCUGGCCUUGACCCAUAGGCUGCAAACACAGAAGUGUGUGUGUGUGUG
ensembl:snoRNA